AAUCUGGCUUCAGGUUCGGGACAACAGUUGGAAACGGCUGCUAAUACCGGAUGUGCCUAAGGGUGAAAGAUUUAUCACCUGAAGAUGAGCUCGCGUCUGAUUAGCUAGUAGGUGUGGUAAGAGCGCACCUAGGCGACGAUCAGUAGCUGGUCUGAGAGGAUGAUCAGCCACACUGGGACUGAGACACGGCCCAGACUCCUACGGGAGGCAGCAGUGGGGAAUUUUCCGCAAUGGGCGAAAGCCUGACGGAGCAAUACCGCGUGAGGGAGGAAGGCUCUUGGGUUGUAAACCUCUUUUCUCAGGGAAGAAUAAAUGACGGUACCUGAGGAAUAAGCAUCGGCUAACUCCGUGCCAGCAGCCGCGGUAAUACGGAGGAUGCAAGCGUUAUCCGGAAUGAUUGGGCGUAAAGCGUCCGCAGGUGGCAAUGUAAGUCUGCUGUCAAAGCGUCUGGCUCAACCAGAUAAAGGCAGUGGAAACUACAUAGCUAGAGUAAGGUAGGGGUAGAGGGAAUUCCUGGUGUAGCGGUGAAAUGCGUAGAGAUCAGGAAGAACACCGGUGGCGAAAGCGCUCUGCUGGACCUUAACUGACACUGAGGGACGAAAGCUAGGGGAGCGA
rnacentral:rRNA from 1 species